AAAGGUGCUCAAGAUUGAUAGCUCAUGGUGGUACAACGCAUGCAAAAAAUGCCUUAGGACAACCAAACCGCACGGUGACACAUACAAGUGCACCAAUAUUUCCUGUGACAACAUAGGAUCGCCUACCCCAAGUGCUUUUGGACACGAGCACCACCAGCUAUGGAGGCCCGCUUUUGGGAACUGAGGAUCGCUUUUGGGAACUAUCCCAGUUCAUCUAGGUUGCUGUUAGAACUUCCCCCCUACUAUGUAGGGCGUAUGGUUUUAUGCUUGUAAGAUAUGGACAGCGCUAUGCUGUGUGCUUGACUGCAAGAUAUGCCUUUUGUUGCUUGGUCAUAGCUAUGCUAUGCGUGCAAUCCUGCGAGGACCAUACUCGCGAUGUGUAAAGCAUGCCUAUAUAGUCUAGGCCUGAACAAACCAGAAACGUUGCUUCCUUUGGUGCUUCUACUAUUUCUCUUUGUCGUUCUGUGCUACUACCAGCCAUGUAUUUGUCGUUACUAUGUAAAGCAUGCCUAUAUAGUCUAUUUGUUGUUCUGUGCUACUGCCAUCCA